UGAGGAAUAUUGGGCAAUGCCCGCAAGGGUGACCCAGCAACGCCGCGUGGAGGAUGAAUGUCGUAAGAUUGUAAACUCCUGUUAGAGGGGAAGAAUAGUACCGGUUGGACCGGUAUAUGACUGUACCCUCAGAGAAAGCCCCGGCUAACUACGUGCCAGCAGCCGCGGUAAUACGUAGGGGGCAAGCGUUGUCCGGAUUUACUGGGUGUAAAGGGCGCGCAGGCGGGAUAAAAAGUCAGUGGUGAAAUCCUACAGCUUAACUGUAGAACUGCCUUUGAUACGUUUAUUCUUGAGUUCGGGAGAGAGAGACGGAAUUCCAGGUGGAGUGGGGAAAUACGUAGAUAUCUGGAAGAACACCAGUUGCGAAGGCGGUCUCUUGGUCCGACACUGACGCUGAGGCGCGAAAGCGUGG
rnacentral:rRNA from 1 species